rnacentral:miRNA from 1 species
UGGAGGCCUGGGUGUUUCCUG